AACGAACGCUGGCGGCAGGCUUAACACAUGCAAGUCGAACGCCCCGCAAGGGGAGUGGCAGACGGGUGAGUAACGCGUGGGAACAUACCCUUUUCUACGGAAUAGCUCUGGGAAACUGGAAUUAAUACCGUACACGCCCUACGGGGGAAAGAUUUAUCGGGGAAGGAUUGGCCCGCGUUGGAUUAGCUAGUUGGUGGGGUAAAGGCCUACCAAGGCGACGAUCCAUAGCUGGUCUGAGAGGAUGAUCAGCCACAUUGGGACUGAGACACGGCCCAAACUCCUACGGGAGGCAGCAGUGGGGAAUAUUGGACAAUGGGCGCAAGCCUGAUCCAGCCAUGCCGCGUGAGUGAUGAAGGCCUUAGGGUUGUAAAGCUCUUUCACCGAUGAAGAUAAUGACGGUAGUCGGAGAAGAAGCCCCGGCUAACUUCGUG
rnacentral:rRNA from 1 species